UGGGGUAUGGCUCAGUGGUAGAGCGCUCACCUAGCAUGUGCAAGGCACUGGGUUCCAUCCUUAGUACCACAU
rnacentral:tRNA from 1 species